AAGCGUUUAUGACCAGACUUGGGCUUGGUUAAUCAUCUGGGGUUCUCCCCAGUGCACUUUUCCAGUCCAGGCCAGCAUCAGUUUUCCCCGGGGGAUAAA
rnacentral:rRNA from 1 species